AUUGAACGCUGGCGGAAUGCUUUACACAUGCAAGUCGAACGGCAGCACGGGGGCAGCCCUGGUGGCGAGUGGCGAACGGGUGAGUAAUACAUCGGAACUUGCCCUGUCGUGGGGGAUAACGUAGCGAAAGUUACGCUAAUACCGCAUACGAUCGGAGGAUGCAAGCGGGGGACCUUCGGUCCUCGCGCGAUCGGAGCGGCCGAUGUCAGAUUAGGUAGUUGGUGGGGUAAAGGCCUACCAAGCCGACGAUCUGUAGCUGGUCUGAGAGGACGACCAGCCACACUGGGACUGAGACACGGCCCAGACUCCUACGGGAGGCAGCAGUGGGGAAUUUUGGACAAUGGGCGAAAGCCUGAUCCAGCCAUUCCGCGUGCAGGACGAAGGCCUUCGGGUUGUAAACUGCUUUUGUACGGAACGAAAAGGAUCUGGCUAAUACCUGGGGCUCAUGACGGUACCGUAAGAAUAAGCACCGGCUAACUACGUG
rnacentral:rRNA from 1 species